GGGUUGUGAGGUUAAGCGACUAAGCGUACACGGUGGAUGCCCUGGCAGUCAGAGGCGAUGAAGGACGUGCUAAUCUGCGAAAAGCGUCGGUAAGGUGAUAUGAACCGUUAUAACCGGCGAUGUCCGAAUGGGGAAACCCAGUGUGAUUCGUCACACUAUCGUUAACUGAAUACAUAGGUUAACGAGGCGAACCGGGGGAACUGAAACAUCUAAGUACCCCGAGGAAAAGAAAUCAACCGAGAUUCCCCCAGUAGCGGCGAGCGAACGGGGAGCAGCCCAGAGUCUGAAUCAGCUUGUGUGUUAGUGGAACGGUCUGGAAAGUCCGACGGUACAGGGUGAUAGUCCCGUACACCAAAAUGCACAGGCUGUGAACUCGAAGAGUAGGGCGGGACACGUGGUAUCCUGUCUGAAUAUGGGGGGACCAUCCUCCAAGGCUAAAUACUCCUGACUGACCGAUAGUGAACCAGUACCGUGAGGGAAAGGCGAAAAGAACCCCGGCGAGGGGAGUGAAAAAGAACCUGAAACCGUGUACGUACAAGCAGUGGGAGCACCUUCGGGUGUGACUGCGUACCUUUUGUAUAAUGGGUCAGCGACUUAUAUUCUGUAGCAAGGUUAACCGUAUAGGGGAGCCGCA
rnacentral:rRNA from 1 species